GACGAACGCUAGCGGCAGGCUUAACACAUGCAAGUCGAGGGGUAUAGGGAGCUUGCUUCCUAGAGACCGGCGCACGGGUGCGUAACGCGUAUGCAAUCUACCUUUUGCAGAGGGAUAGCCCCAGAGAAAUUUGGAUUAAUACCUCAUAGUAUGUGAGAAUGGCAUCAUUUUCACAUUAAAGUCACAACGGCAAAAGAUGAGCAUGCGUCCCAUUAGCUUGUUGGUAAGGUAACGGCUUACCAAGGCAACGAUGGGUAGGGGUCCUGAGAGGGAGAUCCCCCACACUGGUACUGAGACACGGACCAGACUCCUACGGGAGGCAGCAGUGAGGAAUAUUGGACAAUGGGCGCAAGCCUGAUCCAGCCAUGCCGCGUGCAGGAUGACGGUCCUAUGGAUUGUAAACUGCUUUUGUACAGGAAGAAACACUGGUUCGUGACCAGCUUGACGGUACUGUAAGAAUAAGGAUCGGC
rnacentral:rRNA from 1 species